CCACUCUUUGGAUGUUCGGAGGGCUCUUGCCUUCUAUGUAGAUUGGACAAGACCCUUCAGAAGGACAGAGAGACUCUUUGUCAGCUUUUCAGGCUCAUCUAUGGGCAUGCCUAUAUCAACGCAGCGAGUUUCAUCUUGGGUAGCAGAGACUGUACGUCUAGCCUACCAGCUGGCUAAGAAGCAAUUGCCGGGCCCUAUUCGGGCCCAUUCCAUGAGGGCAGUGGCGUCAUCGGAAGCCUUUUGGCGGGGAAUUGCAUUGGAGGAGAUUUGCAGGGCAGCUAGCUGGGCUAAAACGUCUACCUUCAUACAACACUAUGCGCUGGAUGUUCGUUCCAGAGAUCAGGCAUGUUUGGGGACGGCAGUACUUCACUCAGUCUCUCAUUAGGCUGCUCCCACCAGCCAGGUAAGCUAGCUCACUAUGAUCUCAAGUGUGAUGCACAGAGACCACGAAGAAGAAGGGCAGGUUUCCUACUUGUAACCGUAGUUCUUCGUGUGGUCUUCUGUGCAUUCACACUCCCGCCCUACUUCCCCACAGCAGCUGGUCUCUUUUGUUGAGCGGCGGUCUCCUUGACUGAGGUAGUGUGUGGUUCAACCUACAAAGGGAGUGGGUCUUCCCGCUCUUUUUUCCUUUUUGGGGGUGAAGCUUUGGAAGGUUCCAGAACGUGUCUCUGCGCAGGCGCAUAACCCAAGUGUGAACGCACAGAAGACCACACGAAGAACUACGGUUACAGGUAGGAAACCUGCCCUUUCCUUGAUGCCCCUUUUCAUUCCUCAUUUCAUUCCGCAUUUCAUUCCAGCCCCAUUUCAUUCCUCAUUUGUGUGUUUGUGCGUGUGUGCAUUUCUUUUAGGUGGCAUAUCUGAGCUGAGUAAGGUAAGCAGAGGCAGAGGCGCUUUUACUCCUGGAUUUUGGGGAUGCAGCCCCUGGUGUCCAUACUCCUUGGGGGCUCCCAAAUAAUCUUUAGUCAGUCCUGGGUGGUGUGGUUUGUGCCCUCAAGAACGUAUGUGUUAAAAAAUGUUUAAUUUGCAUUGGGGAUGGGUGGGGGCUCCAAAGGCUUUUAGGUCCAGGCUCCAAAAUUACCUAGGUGCACCUCUGAGCAGAGGCGAUCUUGCCAGCGGCUCUUUCUCUUGGGGGGUUGUAAUUUUUAUCCCCCAGUUAAUUAGCAGAGCACUAAAGAAGCUACCCAUUCCAGUUACAGAGUAGUUGCAGAGUUUAGUUGUUGCAGCCAUUUAGAGAAGUCACAUGGAGAGUCUUGUAGAAUAAAUACAAAGUAUUUAUUGGUGAAGUACACCUUUGGAUAAGAAAGACCUAACCGUAAUCUAUAGAACAACAUAAUGAAUAGGUGCGGGAGAGAGAGAGAUUUUUCCAUCUGCUCUCUAAGAGGAAAAGAAGGGAUUCUUUCUGACUCUCAACAGGAAAUACCUGAAGAGUCAUAUCAGGGGUCAUAGAGUAGAGACCGAUAGAAUGGUUAGGGAGACCCUUACUCACUAUCUCUACCCCCAAUGCCCCUAGUGGUCAUAAGGAUAGUUGGUGCAAAAAGUUGAUGCACUGGUAGUCCAUCUCCAACACUUUCCCGGGCUAUGCAAUGUAGUCCUCUACAUUCCUCAUUUGUGUAUUUGUUUCUUUUAGUUGGCAAAUCUCAGCUGCGUAAGGUGGUGAAUCCCAGCUGGAUAAGGUGGUGAAUCCCAGCUGGAUAAGGUAAGCAGAGGCAAUUGCCAUCAGGAUGGUUCUCUGAACCAGCCUGACAACCAGGCUGGUUCGAUGGUUUGAUCGCGAAACAAACAGGCCUUCAGGAAAGGUGGUCCAGUCCAAGAUCAAGCCAAAUCAGCCCUGACCAGGAGGACAUGGCUCCCAUGUAGCCGUCCUCUGUGAGAAGUGGCUACAUGCAUGGGAUGGCCAAUGGGGUCAGUGUGGCGCUGCUGCUACUUAUGCGGCACACAUGCUUCCCUCCUCCGAACUUUGCAGGCUUUGCGGCUCCCGCCCACCCUCCCUAGUUCAGUGAGAGAUUAGCUGGUCGCUUAUGGGCCGAGUAGGAAUUUUUGGUCUUCACCUGAUUGGCUUUGUGUGGAGAUUUUUUCGCCUACUCCUCACUGACUGUGUUUUAAAGGGAAUAACCCCCUUUUUAGGGGUGGGAGUCUGGUUGCAGGUUAAGUGGUCACUUUGGCAGGUGAGUGUGGGCUUUGGAGGUUAAGACCUCGAUUGGUGCUCAGCCAUAGGCACCUUUCAGGUAGAGAUGGUUUCAUGGAACAACCUUUCAGGGUUUUGUGGCCCAGGGGUGUCUGAGGUGGCCAGAGCCUAAGGGGUAUACUCAUGGGUCAAAUGAGCCGUAAGCCAGAAUUUGGCUUUCAAAAAGCCAAAUCUGGUCACCUAGCGAAGGAACCACUUUUAGGGCACUGUUCAGCUGACCCACUCAAAGCUUUGGGGCUGGAGGGGUGGUGACCAGUGUUUCCUCUAACAGGGAUUCCCAGAUGUUGACUACAACUCCCAGAAUCCCAAGCUACAAUGGCUUUUGCUUGGGGAUUAUGGGAGUUGUAGUCCACAACAUCUGGGGAUCCAUGUUGGAGGGAACAGUGGUGGUGACCCUGGUGGCUACCUCCUUGACACAGUAAACUGUGUGGCUUGGUGGGGCUAUGCUGAGGUUUCAUAUGGCAUCUGCCAAGCCUGGCUGCUUUGCCCAACAGUGAGAGGAGCUCAGCCCUCGCUAGGAGGCUGUGCCUACCCGAAAAGGGGAUUGGAGUUGCCCACACUCUAGUUUAGGGAGGUUAUAGUUAUACCUGUUGCUGAUCUCUGCAUAGUUUAUAGUUAAUAAAGUGGCCCUAGUUUUCAUCCAUA